rnacentral:lncRNA from 1 species
UCUAGGCUAAGAGCUCCACUCAUAAAUCUCUUCCUUGCUCUCUGUUUUUUCUAGCUCAAAGAUGUACCAAUGAGGAGCUUCAGAGAAACCAACUUAAAAUGGAAACAUUGAAGGAAGAAUUAGACAAAUUGAACCUGGAAAUGAUUCAGUUGGAGGAAACCUUGAACAUGAAGCAGGGAACUUUGCUGCUCCUUCAAGAGCGCCGCAGAGAGGAGGAAAAGAAAGCCCUAAGGUAGGCUAUUUAGAUCUUUGCAGA